UUUAGCUCCUACGGGAGGCUGCAGUGGGGAAUUUUGGACAAUGGGCGCAAGCCUGAUCCAGCAAUGCCGCGUGCAGGAAGAAGGCCUUCGGGUUGUAAACUGCUUUUGUACGGAGCGAAAAGGCUCUCUCUAAUACAGGGGGCUCAUGACGGUACCGUAAGAAUAAGCACCGGCUAACUACGUGCCAGCAGCCGCGGUAAUACGUAGGGUGCAAGCGUUAAUCGGAAUUACUGGGCGUAAAGCGUGCGCAGGCGGUUUUGUAAGACAGGCGUGAAAUCCCCGGGCUCAACCUGGGAAUGGCGCUUGUGACUGCAAAGCUGGAGUGCGGCAGAGGGGGAUGGAAUUCCGCGUGUAGCAGUGAAAUGCGUAGAUAUGCGGAGGAACACCGAUGGCGAAGGCAAUCCCCUGGGCCUGCACUGACGCUCAUGC
rnacentral:rRNA from 1 species